AUGGAGCGGUUACACACGUGGUCAGAUCGGAAGCUGCAUGACACGCUUGGAGAGUCCGACAAAGACCUCACACCGGAUGGGGGAAGACAUGUGAUGGACCAAUACAAGUCGAAGAAGUCGAUGAACGAGUGCAUGGAUCUCAAAGCACCUGCUAAGCGGGCCGUGCACAUGGAUGCACCAUGCCCACAGACACCACUACCAAUGAAGAGCAAUACAUCACCGAUGCGAAAGAUGAUGACCGGAUCUAUGUCAGAAAGGCGGAGGGCUUGGGUACCAGAUCUCAUAGCAGAUCACAAGAAAGACCGAGGGCUCGGGUAUCAGAUCACAAGAUCAAAAUCCAACGACCUCCAUCAUGCCGCAGACUGCCAUCAUCUUCUCCCCAUCUUCUUCCUCCCGAUGACAGUUCCUCCCCGCUCCAUCCUCCUACCCCCCACGGCCGGCAGGUGCUACCGCACACCGCUCCGCCUUCUCUUCAACCUCCCCCACUGCCCAACCAUUCCUAUAAGCCCACAUCACUGGAGAAAACCUCCAGCGAUCCCAUGCCCCCACCUCUAA
rnacentral:rRNA from 1 species